rnacentral:rRNA from 1 species
UACGUAGGGUGCGAGCGUUAAUCGGAAUUACUGGGCGUAAAGCGUGCGCAGGCGGUUUUGUAAGACGGAUGUGAAAUCCCCGGGCUCAACCUGGGACCUGCCUUCGUGACUGCAAGGCUAGAGUACGGUAGAGGGGGAUGGAAUUCCGCGUGUAGCAGUGAAAUGCGUAGAUAUGCGGAGGAACACCGAUGGCGAAGGCAAUCCCCUGGACCUGUACUGACGCUCAUGCACGAAAGCGUGGGGAGCAAACAGG